AUUUGAUGUCUAUGUCUUUAUAGGUGUCAGAGUGUGUGACAUGCCAGGCCAGUCAGAAUGUAAUAAAACAACAAGUGCAAUAUACACCCAUAAAGGUCAUGGAACCAUUUGAGCUGGUUGGGAUGGACCUGAUAGGGCAAUUGGUGACAUCAAAACAGGACCAUAAAUAUAUAUGUGUCCUUGUGGAUUAUUUUACCAAGUGGUCACAAGCCUACCCGCUAAAAUGCAAAUGUGCAGAGGAAGUCACCACAUGCAUUUUGAAAUUCGUUUAUCAGUUUGGGGCUCCAAAAAGAAUCCUGACUGACCAAGGAAGGGAAUUCGUCAAUGCGAUCAACAAGCGAGUCUGCACAAACCUUUCAAUUGAACGAAGUUUAUGCUCUCCUUAUCAUC